GAUGAACGCUGGCGGCGUGCCUAACACAUGCAAGUCGAACGAAACCUCCUGGUUUAUUCUCCCACGGCUUCUUAGGGGGCGGGGUGGUGCACUUGUGUUUAACCUAACUCUACGACGGGGGUGCCAAUAGGAGAUCAUCUCUAAUCACCAACGAUUUAUUGCGUCUGGAUGGGCCCGCGUUGGAUUAGCUUGUUGGUAGGGUAAAAGCCUACCAAGGCGACGAUCCGUAGCUGGGCUGAGAGGAUGAUCAGCCACACUGGGACUGAGACACGGCCCAGACUCCUACGGGAGGCAGCAGUGGGGAAUAUUGCACAAUGGGGGAAAGCCUGAUGCAGCAAUGCCGCGUGAGUGAUGAAGUCCUUAGGGAUGUAAAGCUCUUUUACCAGGGAAGAUAAUGACGGUACCGGAAGAAUAAGCUCCGGCUAACUACGUG
rnacentral:rRNA from 1 species